rnacentral:rRNA from 1 species
UACAGAGGGUGCGAGCGUUAAUCGGAAUUACUGGGCGUAAAGGGUGCGUAGGCGGCAAGAUGUGUGUGAUGUGAAAGCCCCGGGCUUAACCUGGGAAGUGCAUUGCAAACUAUCUGGCUAGAGUAUAUGAGAGGGUGGCGGAAUUUCCGGUGUAGCGGUGAAAUGCGUAGAGAUCGGAAGGAACGUCAAUGGCGAAGGCAGCCACCUGGCAUAAUACUGACGCUGAGGCACGAAAGCGUGGGGAGCGAACAGG